UGGGCUGUGGCUCAGUGGUAGGGCACUUGUCUUGCAUAUGGGAGGCACUGGGUUUGAUUCUCAGCACCGCAU
rfam:Ictidomys tridecemlineatus contig053993, whole genome shotgun sequence.